rnacentral:rRNA from 1 species
GACAGAGGUGCCGAGCGUUAGGCGGAAUCACUGGGCUUAAAGCGCGUGUAGGUGGCGGCCUAAGUACCUUGUGAAAUCCUGCGGCUCAACCGCAGAACUGCUUGGUAUACUGGGUCGCUUGAGUCAUCCAGGGGCAACUGGAACAAGCGGUGGAGCGGUGAAAUGCGUAGAUAUCGUCUGGAACGCCGAAGGUGAAAACAGCUCGCUGGGGCUGCGCUGACGCUGAGACACGAAAGCCAGGGGAGCGAACGGG